rnacentral:piRNA from 1 species
UGUACAUGUGGUUGACAAAGAAAAGGGAA